UGGAGUUGAUUGGUGGGAUGCUGUGGGAUGCACACAAAGUGCUGCUGAGGAUGGGAUUGUUGCUUUGAACAGUGUCAUUGCUGUACUGGAUGCAGAUUUCCAUUCCCUCCCUUCAACUCAGCAUAGACAGCAGUAUGGACCGAGUCUAGACAGGAUAAAAUGCAGGCUUCUAGAAGGUACAAAUGCUCAAGAAGUCCGGGCAAUGGUGCUUGACAUGCAAGCAAGAUUGUUGCUAGAUAUGCUUGGCAAGGGAAUCGAAUCAGCUUUAACAAACCCAUCAGCAUUGGUUCCGGAGCCAUGGCAAGCUUCUAGCGAGACACUGUUUGGUAUUGAUCCUGAGGCGAUGGCUGUUGAACCAUCACUUGUGCCAAGUAUCCAGGCAUAUGUAGAUGCGAUACUGGAUCUGGCGUCUCAUUUCAUCACGCGCUUACGGCGCUAUGCAAGUUUCUGCCGUACAUUGGCUAGUCAUGCUGUUACUGCAGGUACAGGUGGGAGUAGGAGUAUGGUGACUAGUCCUACUCAAAGUGCUUCAUCUCCUGCCACUUCCCAGGGUGCUCAGGGUGGUACUGCAAGUUCUGCUGGGAGCACUCAGAUGCAAGCUUGGGUA
rnacentral:misc_RNA from 1 species